rnacentral:rRNA from 1 species
AUGUUUGGGUGUCAAGUGGGCACACUUCCCAUGAAAUAUCUGGGAGUCCCUGUUACUUAUUCUACCCUCAAGAAUGCGGAUCUAGAUUUCCUUGACGGAAAAAUGAUCAAAAAACUUGAUGCCUGGGUAGCAUAUGCAGCAUCUUCUGGAGCUAGACUAACGUUGCUAGGGUCCAGUUUGGAUGGAAUUCCCUCUUUCCUCAUGUCAAUGUUCCUUUUUAAUAAGACCUUUAUUGAGAAGCUGGAUAAACAUCGCAGACGUUUCUUUUGGAGGAGGAAAAAUAAGAAACAUGGAUACCAUAUGGUUAAGUGGACGAGGAUAUGUUGAUCGAAAAGGAUUGGGGGAUUAGGGAUUAAAGAUCUUCAUAAACAAAAUAUUGCCCUACUUGUUAAGUGGUGGUGGAAGUUAGAAACAAGUGAUGGGCUAUGGCAGCGUACUGUAAGAGCUAGAUACUUCAGGAACAAAACAGUGGCUACCAUUCGGAGCCGCUUUUCAGACUCUCCCUGCUGGAAAGCAAUUAUGAAGGUCAAGGAUUCUUAUAUGGCAGGAAGAAAAGUUAAAAUCGAAAGUGGAAACCUGGCUAGGAUCUGGUAUGAUCCGUGGGCUGAGAAUAUUGCGUUGAAAGAUCACUUUCCUGAUCUAUUUGGUAUUUGCCAGGAGCAGAAAUGCACGGUUGCAUCUUGGGUGACUAACAACUAUGAGCUGGGCUUUAGACGUAGACUGGUUGGGGUGUUGGGUGAGCAG